GUUUCACAGUUGAAGCAGCGAGACUGAGCGGCAUGUAUCUUGUGUUAUUUCGGCCUUACUAAAUCUUGUGAUUGAAUGGUAUAUAUCUUCAUUCUUUCUAAAAAAACUAGAUGAUUUUUUUGUAAGCGAAUGAAAAUGAAAAGCCAAUACGCAAUAACAAAUAUGUUGCUUCUUUUUCAGAAGGGAGAGAAGGUAAAUAAGCUUGCAAGUUUGCAACUCUGGCAAAAAAACAAAUAGACUUGUC
rnacentral:lncRNA from 1 species